GACAACAGCGGGAAUCGGAGCCAUGCAGUGUGCAUGAGUGCAGUACUACCAACAGCUGUUCCUGCAAAUCGUGAAUAUCGUGAAGCAUCUGGAACGCAACUAUUAUUUCGUACUUUGGUCGUUUACGCAACAUACCUGAAGAGCUGGAACAAAGAUAUAAAUUACAGGGAUUGAUCCGGCCCAAUAAAUAUGCAGGCGAAUCGAGAAAAUCUACUUUCCUCAAAGAGAUGCGUAUAAUACGCGGCAUUAUUUAUGAACUCGAACUUAUU